rnacentral:rRNA from 1 species
CCAGCAGCCGCGGUAAUUCCAGCUCCAAUAGCGUAUAUUAAAGUUGUUGCAGUUAAAAAGCUCGUAGUUGGAUAUCGGGCGCGCGCGCAUGGUCCGCCUAACGGUGUGCACCGUGUUUUACUGUCGCGCGUCCUCUUUCCGUAGACCGCGCGGGGUGCUUAACUGCGUCCCGCGCGGGAUGCGGAUCGUUUACUUUGAAUAAAUUAGAGUGUUCAAAGCAGGCUUUCGCUUGGAUACAUUAGCAUGGAAUAAUGGAAUAGGACUUUGGUUCUAUUUUGUUGGUUUCUAGGACCGAAGUAAUGAUUAAUAGGGAUAGUUGGGGGCAUUAAUAUUUAAUUGUCAGA